GUAUUACUUUAUGGUUUUGACAUUCUGGUUUUACUUGUUAAAUGUAAAGGCGGCCAUGUUGCCACGACCGAGGUGCACAGGUGUGUGUGAUUGUAUUCAACGUGCAGCCCAUGAGGGCGCACAGUCAAAGAAUCUAUAAUGAUCCUUCCGCAGGUUCACCUACGGAAA
rnacentral:misc_RNA from 1 species